UACGUAGGGAGCAAGCGUUGUCCGGAAUCAUUGGGCGUAAAGCGCGCGUAGGCGGCCCUGUAAGUCCGUUGUGAAAGUCAAAGGCUCAACCUUUGAAAGCCGAUGGAUACUGCAGGGCUAGAGUCCGGAAGAGGCGAGUGGAAUUCCUGGUGUAGCGGUGGAAUGCGCAGAUAUCAGGAGGAACACCAAUAGCGAAGGCAGCUCGCUGGGACGGUACUGACGCUAAGGCGCGAAAGCGUGGGAGCGAAGAG
rnacentral:rRNA from 1 species